UAGGCAGAUAGAAUCUUCAGAUGCCAUUGGUACCUUACAUUGUCUAUCUCCUGGAAUUUCUUACAAGCAGCCCUAUUAGGCAGAUAGAAUCUUCAGAUGCCAUUGGUACCUCACAUUGUCUAUCUUCUGGGCUUUCUUACAAGCAGCCCUAUUAGGCAGAUAGAAUCUUCAGAUGCCAUUGGUACCUCACAUUGUCUAUCUUCUGGGCUUUCUUACAAGCAGCCCUAUUAGGCAGAUAGAAUCUUCAGAUGCCAUUGGUACCUCACAUUGUCUAUCUUCUGGGCUUUCUUACAAGCAGCCCUAUUAGGCAGAUAGAAUCUUCAGAUGCCAUUGGUACCUUACAUUGUCUAUCUCCUGGAAUUUCUUACAAGCAGCCCUAUUAGGCAGAUAGAAUCUUCAGAUGCCAUUGGUACCUCACAUUGUCUAUCUUCUGGGCUUUCUUACAAGCAGCCCUAUUAGGCAGAUAGAAUCUUCAGAUGCCAUUGGUACCUCACAUUGUCUAUCUUCUGGGCUUUCUUACAAGCAGCCCUAUUAGGCAGAUAGAAUCUUCAGAUGCCAUUGGUACCUCACAUUGUCUAUCUUCUGGGCUUUCUUACAAGCAGCCC